UCCAAAGCUUAUCAAUAGCUAUGAGACUCCUGAGGCAGUGAUGGCAGUAUGUGACAACUCUGUUUUUAUUUUGUAGGUACAGUGAAGGCGAAAUAAGGUUUAACUUGAUGGCAAUUGUAUCUGACAGAAAAAUGAUAUACGAACAGAAAAUUGCAGAGUUGCAGAGACAACUUGCUGAGGAAGAGCCCAUGGAUACAGACCAGAGCAGUAAUUACUAAGUUCUAUUCAGUCAGAAGUUGCAAAAUAUCAGAUGUUAAUUGACGAAGAAAACCAAAAAUUGAAAAGAUACAAGGGGGCUGUGCAACCUGAUCCCUCCAGCAAGGUCAGAUGGCUUGUAAUCCUAAUUCUAGUUCCUGUUUAAAACUCCUCCUUUGUUUCAGAUCACUUCGUAAUUUUUAACAUUUGAUCUUUCUAAUAAAAGACACCCCUCCCCCCGCAACCUGCUCUGUGGUCUCUGUUCUGUGGCUUGUUACAUAAACUGGCACAGACAUUAGUGCAGCCAUUUGGCUCCCACAGAUAACUGGACACCUUAAGAGGUACUCGUGUUGGAAGAUGUGUAGCUCUUGUUCCAUUAAUUGGAACAUAAUUUCCCGUCUGUUCAUGGAAUGGAAGGGGCAAGCUUCGUAAUCUGACAUUAACACUUCGCGUGCAGAGGACUACCUGCAGGAACAAUUAUUUGCAGGUUAAACUGGUUACAGCGGGAUCUGUACCUGCUGCAACUCUGAUCUAACUUUUUUGUGUGUUGCUUCCGUUACAGUUUGCUUCUUAGUGUGAUUGUAAUGUUACAUAGCAUAGUGUGUGGAUUUCUGAGAUCAGGGUGGCCACGGGAGUACUUCAACAUGGAACCUGCAAGCCUCACACUCCCUUGGCACGCGCAGAGGCCAAAAUUUGACACACACAAACACACAGCUCUUGUGCUGCCUUCCCAAACCCUGAUAAGCAAGGCAGUGAGCUUUAAGAAGGAGCAGAAGGCUCUGGCAAGGUCCUAGAUCCCACUGCCUCGCUUACCCAGUUACAGGAAGGCAGCACAAGGGCUGGGGCAGGGAGUUGUCAGAUGUUGCUGAGGGCUGCCAAAAAGACCUUGAGGGCUGCAUAUUUCUGCUCUGUUCAGAUACAUUUAUACCAUAGUGAUGCAUCAAAGGCUUUUCUUACUCUGCACAGACUUCUUUCACUGCCCAAAGCACUACAGGUUGCAGGCUUUUAUACAGACUAAUGAUAAUUGACUUAAUUUGCCAGCUAGAUUACCUUAAGAGCCUUGUCGGAAUGGCUGAAGUAAAUCCCAUUAUGAUGUUUGAAACGUGUGGCAGAAAACUCCUAAUUUACCCUUGGGCUUCUUAACUUGUUGAAUGCAG